AGAGUUUGAUCAUGGCUCAGAUUGAACGCUGGCGGCAGGCCUAACACAUGCAAGUCGAACGGUAACAGGAAGCAGCUUGCUGCUUCGCUGACGAGUGGCGGACGGGUGAGUAAUGUCUGGGAAACUGCCUGAUGGAGGGGGAUAACUACUGGAAACGGUGGCUAAUACCGCAUAACGUCGCAAGACCAAAGAGGGGGACCUUCGGGCCUCUUGCCAUCAGAUGUGCCCAGAUGGGAUUAGCUUGUUGGUGAGGUAACGGCUCACCAAGGCGACGAUCCCUAGCUGGUCUGAGAGGAUGACCAGCCACACUGGAACUGAGACACGGUCCAGACUCCUACGGGAGGCAGCAGUGGGGAAUAUUGCACAAUGGGCGCAAGCCUGAUGCAGCCAUGCCGCGUGUAUGAAGAAGGCCUUCGGGUUGUAAAGUACUUUCAGCGGGGAGGAAGGUGUUGUGGUUAAUAACCACAGCAAUUGACGUUACCCGCAGAAGAAGCACCGGCUAACUCCGUGCCAGCAGCCGCGGUAAUACGGAGGGUGCAAGCGUUAAUCGGAAUUACUGGGCGUAAAGCGCACGCAGGCGGUCUGUCAAGUCGGAUGUGAAAUCCCCGGGCUCAACCUGGGAACUGCAUUCGAAACUGGCAGGCUUGAGUCUUGUAGAGGGGGGUAGAAUUCCAGGUGUAGCGGUGAAAUGCGUAGAGAUCUGGAGGAAUACCGGUGGCGAAGGCGGCCCCCUGGACAAAGACUGACGCUCAGGUGCGAAAGCGUGGGGAGCAAACAGGAUUAGAUACCCUGGUAGUCCACGCCGUAAACGAUGUCUACUUGGAGGUUGUGCCCUUGAGGCGUGGCUUCCGGAGCUAACGCGUUAAGUAGACCGCCUGGGGAGUACGGCCGCAAGGUUAAAACUCAAAUGAAUUGACGGGGGCCCGCACAAGCGGUGGAGCAUGUGGUUUAAUUCGAUGCAACGCGAAGAACCUUACCUGGUCUUGACAUCCACGGAAGUUUUCAGAGAUGAGAAUGUGCCUUCGGGAACCGUGAGACAGGUGCUGCAUGGCUGUCGUCAGCUCGUGUUGUGAAAUGUUGGGUUAAGUCCCGCAACGAGCGCAACCCUUAUCCUUUGUUGCCAGCGAUUAGGUCGGGAACUCAAAGGAGACUGCCAGUGAUAAACUGGAGGAAGGUGGGGAUGACGUCAAGUCAUCAUGGCCCUUACGACCAGGGCUACACACGUGCUACAAUGGCGCAUACAAAGAGAAGCGACCUCGCGAGAGCAAGCGGACCUCAUAAAGUGCGUCGUAGUCCGGAUUGGAGUCUGCAACUCGACUCCAUGAAGUCGGAAUCGCUAGUAAUCGUGGAUCAGAAUGCCACGGUGAAUACGUUCCCGGGCCUUGUACACACCGCCCGUCACACCAUGGGAGUGGGUUGCAAAAGAAGUAGGUAGCUUAACCUUCGGGAGGGCGCUUACCACUUUGUGAUUCAUGACUGGGGUGAAGUCGUAACAAGGUAACCGUAGGGGAACCUGCGGUUGGAUCACCU
rnacentral:rRNA from 2 species